AGUCGUACGAGGUGUGCAGCAAUCCAUGAGUAAAGUGGCGCACGGGUGAGUAACACGUGACUAACCUACCCUUGAGUGGGGAAUAACCUCGGGAAACCGGGGCUAAUACCGCAUAAUACCUUCGGGUCAAAGGAGCAAUUCGCUUAAGGAGGGGGUCGCGGCUGAUUAGCUAGUUGGUGGGGUAAUGGCCUACCAAGGCAAUGAUCAGUAUCCGGCCUGAGAGGGCGCACGGACACACUGGAACUGAAACACGGUCCAGACUCCUACGGGAGGCAGCAGUGGGGAAUUUUGCACAAUGGGGGAAACCCUGAUGCAGCAACGCCGCGUGGAGGAUGAAGUCCCUUGGGAUGUAAACUCCUUUCGACCGGGACGAUAAUGACGGUACCGGUGGAAGAAGCCCCGGCUAACUCUGUGCCAGCAGCCGCGGUAAUACAGAGGGGGCAAGCGUUGUUCGGAAUUAUUGGGCGUAAAGGGUGCGUAGGCGGUGCGGUAAGUCUUCUGUGAAAUCUCCGGGCUCAACUCGGAGCCUGCAGGAGAAACUGCCGUGCUUGAGUAUGGGAGAGGUGAGUGGAAUUCCUGGUGUAGCGGUGAAAUGCGUAGAUAUCAGGAGGAACACCUGUGGCGAAAGCGGCUCACUGGACCAUAACUGACGCUGAGGCACGAAAGCUAGGGGAGCAAACAGGAUUAGAUACCCUGGUAGUCCUAGCCCUAAACGAUGAUUGCUUGGUGUAGCAGGUACCCAAUCCUGCUGUGCCGCAGCUAACGCGUUAAGCAAUCCGCCUGGGGAGUACGGUCGCAAGGCUG
rnacentral:rRNA from 1 species